UUUGUUUUGUACUCUGUCUUCAGGGAAGAAAUCAUUCGAGUCCUGGACAAUGUUGGGCCUUUGCAGGCUUCCCAGGACGCUUAUCCAUCAAACUGUCCCACAGAAUCACCGUUACUCACGUGUCCCUGGGUCACAUUCCUAAGAGUAUAUCCCCGACUUUCACAGUCUCCAGUGCGCCGAAGGAAUUUUCUGUCUAUGGAAAGAAGCAUUUACACGAUCAGGAGAGUUUAUUGGGAACUUUUCAAUAUGACGAGGAUGAUGACAGCUUACAGACCUUCAAACUUCCUGAAGAAAACAUGGACUCCUUCAGCUACAUCAGUCUAAAGGUGAAAAACAACUGGGGUCAACCGGGAUACACAUGCCUCUAUAAUUUUAGAGUGCAUGGGGUUAGUCGAGACAUGAAGAGGAGGCCAUCUUUCAUAUAUGUUUUGUAUUUGUU